AUGAACGCUGGCGGCGUGCCUAAUACAUGCAAGUCGAGCGAACAGAUGAGGAGCUUGCUCCUCUGACGUUAGCGGCGGACGGGUGAGUAACACGUGGAUAACCUACCUAUAAGACUGGGAUAACUUCGGGAAACCGGAGCUAAUACCGGAUAAUAUAUUGAACCGCAUGGUUCAAUAGGGAAAGACGGUUUUGCUGUCACUUAUAGAUGGAUCCGCGCCGCAUUAGCUAGUUGGUAAGGUAACGGCUUACCAAGGCAACGAUGCGUAGCCGACCUGAGAGGGUGAUCGGCCACACUGGAACUGAGACACGGUCCAGACUCCUACGGGAGGCAGCAGUAGGGAAUCUUCCGCAAUGGGCGAAAGCCUGACGGAGCAACGCCGCGUGAGUGAUGAAGGUCUUCGGAUCGUAAAACUCUGUUAUUAGGGAAGAACAAAUGUGUAAGUAACUAUGCACGUCUUGACGGUACCUAAUCAGAAAGCCACGGCUAACUACGUG
rnacentral:rRNA from 1 species